UGGAGUUAGCGUCACAGAAACACAGGAAUGGCUAAACCUCCUAAAAGGCGAUAUUCAUCUGCAUCCCGAAGCAACGCUCCCGACAAGAAACCACGUUUAACGGCAAAGAAAAGAAGCAACACGAGUAAAUCUCGGUGUGGCUUCCCGCCGCUGGAGAAGCUCCUGAGAGGAAAGAGAUGCGGUUUCAUGCUGAGCGCUCAACUUUCCUGUUAGCCAGGACCAGAAUUCCAGUCUAAUCAUCACCAAUGAUCCAAUGAUGGACCAGCACCUGCCUUUUCUUCUACAUCUGGCCUCAUCAAUCAAUCAACCACAUUGCAGUAACACCUUGAGGUGACAAAGAAGCUGCUGGUGCUGCUUCUGAAACGGCUGCCUGGGUUACCAAUGUUGGUGUGUUGGCUUUCCAGGAUGGCGGCCGGAUUGAUGACGCUGUAUCUUGGAGGUGGACCCCCGGAGGUGCCUGCCGUCUCAUUGACUUUGGAUGGAGGAAGUGGGAGCACCCAGAGGAAACCCAUGCAGGCACGAGGAGAACAUGCAAGUGCAAACACCACAUGAACCCAGAACCUUCUUGCUGUGAGACGUGGAGGCUGCCACUCAACAUCUGCCUCGUCAACGCUGAAGGGGGAAUAUGAACUUCUGCUCUCUUUGAACAUGAAGAUGGGUUUUCCAUGAUCAGCACCACUGGUUCAACUUCCCCCAGAACCUUUUGGCUCAAAUUACCCCACCCCAACAUUUGUGUCGUCCAGCAGUUUCGAGCUAAUGUCAGGCUAACAGUGUAGCCUCAUAUUAUAAAUUCUGUGUGAGAUUUUUUCAAACUUGUGUGUAAUUGUUCAAACACAAAGAAUCAUAACUCGUUGUUGUUGAACAUGAAAAAAUUACUUUGGGUCGCUAAAAACACUUCUUCCAUGGGCCUCUCUUCAUCACUGGGCUCAGAGUUCAGGACCCGCUGGAAGAGAAGAAAUGUGCAGUAUCACCUCCACCGCUUCUCACUCCUCACUUGCAAACAAGCUGGUAAAUAUCUUGCUCAUUAACAAAUACAGUGUAAAUUAGCAUCACUUUCUCCAAUACUGAACAUGACUUUGUAACGAGCAGCACUUUGUUUGGUUUUGUUGGAACUUUUACCUCAUUUGCAUGAAAAUGUUCUGCUUGCGACCCCUCUGUCUUUUUGGAUCACUGGUCAAUCCUGCAACGCCUACUGUCCCACUUUGAGAGGCAAUUAACUCACAUCCCACUUGCAUUACAGUCCAUCAAAUUCAUUGUGUCUUCAUCGUAAGGCUGUGCUUCACAACCUUUUUUUUUUUUUGGCUUGUGACCCCUUAAAACAAAGCAAUGUCCCUGGUUAUAUGACCAAUUCUCAACUGUAGUACUUUAAAGAAGAAAGAAAUGGACAAUAAAAAUAACUUUAUUUAGA